CAAAGGCAUUUUUCACUGUGGUAUUUUAGCCUUGGCUCCUAAUCCUGAUCUAAAGUACCUGGGUGUUUAUUCAGAAGUGUCUGGUCCUGACACAUAGUGAAGUCCUGACACAGCCUAUGUCUUGCUCUGGAUCCUUGUUUCAUCUUAUAAAAUACACAAAGUUAAUCUCUGUCUUGUCCUCUUUUCAGAAAGAAGACAGUGGCAACAAGGAGUAGUUGAUGGAGUUCCUGACAGCAGAUGUUUCUUUUAAUUUGACUGCUAUAGGGGUCUUCGAUAUACUAGCAUGAUUUUUUUUCUUGUCUGUGAAUUCAUAUGAAAAUGAAUUAUGGAGCUGGACUGCAUUAGGAAGUUGUUGUGCUUUAAAUUAAUUCUUUCUACAGUCAAAUGGGACCUUUGGAUGUUUGGAAAGUCCAACCACUAAAUGCUUUCCUGUUUCAUGUACUAUGGAGGGGAGUUCUCAUCUUCAUUCCUGCUCCAGAGAUAUUGACCUGCAGGAUGAGGAGACUUGGUGUGAGAACCAUAUGGAAGGGAAGAAGUAUCCCAGGCCCAAGAUACAAGUUUAUGGAUUGCAAGACAGGAGGCCAAACACCAAAACAGCAUCUAACAAAAGUGCUUUUUCUGUAGGAAGAGGCAAUACAACAUUUUGCUUCAGAAGAAUCUUAUUGGCCCUUCCUGGAUACUGGGUUGUAGGAAGAACUGAUGAAUGCUCCCUGCUGUGAGAGGAUGACUCUUCCAUCAAAGAGAGUGACCGUGGUAUUUCAUCUAAUGAUCUGGGAAGCUGGGUGCUUGGAAAUACCUCUGCAGUUGGGUUUACUGCUGGGAAAGAGCGAUGUUUAUGUUAAACUCAAAAAGCAACACCUUAAUUUGAAUGUUCCAAAGGUUUGUUUUUAACCAAUGAAAGAGAAUCUGGAAAAGAAGUGUGUUUUGGAAGUCAAAAUAAAAAUCAGAAGCCUAAGGAAUAUAGAAUUACU
rnacentral:lncRNA from 1 species